rnacentral:rRNA from 1 species
GAGACACGGCCCAGACUCCUACGGGAGGCAGCAGUGGGGAAUAUUGGACAAUGGGCGCAAGCCUGAUCCAGCCACGCCGCGUGAGUGAUGAAGGCCUUCGGGUCGUAAAGCUCUGUGGGGAGGGACGGAACGGCGCCAUGAAGAGUGGCGAUUGACGGUACCUCCUUAGCAAGCACCGGCUAACUUCGUGCCAGCAGCCGCGGUAAUACGAAGGGUGCAAACGUUGCUCGGAAUCAUUGGGCGUAAAGCGCACGUAGGCGGCUUUCUAAGUCGGAUGUGAAAUCCCUCGGCUUAACCGAGGACGUGCAUCCGAAACUGGGAGGUUUGAGUAUGGAAGAGGGUCGCAGAAUUCCCGGUGUAGAGGUGAAAUUCGUAGAUAUCGGGAGGAAUACCAGUGGCGAAGGCGGCGACCUGGGCCAAUACUGACGCUGAGGUGCGAAAGCGUGGGGAGCAAACAGGAUUAGAUACCUGGUAGUCCACGCCGUAAACGAUGAGUGCUAGGUGCUGC